rnacentral:rRNA from 1 species
GUGGGGAAUCUUGCGCAAUGGGCGAAAGCCUGAUCCAGCCAUGCCGCGUGAACGAUGAAGGCCUUCGGGUUGUAAAGUUCUUUAGCCGAUGAUUAUAAUGACUGUAGUCGGAAAAUAAGCCCCGGCUAACUUCGUGCCAGCAGCCGCGGUAAUACGAAGGGGGCGAGCGUUAUUCGGAAUCACUGGGCGUAAAGCGUGCGUAGGCGGUUUUGUAAGUUAGGAGUGAAAGCCCAGGGCUCAACCUUGGAAUUGCUCUUAAAACUGCAAGGCUCGAAUCUCGGAGAGGAUAGCGGAAUUUCCAGUGUAGCAGUGAAAUGCGUAGAUAUUGGAAGGAACACCAGUGGCGUAAGCGGCUAUCUGGACGAGUAUUGACGCUGAGGCACGAAAGCGUGGGGAUCAAACAGGAUUAGAAACCCGAGUAGUCC